rnacentral:rRNA from 1 species
CCUACGGGGUGCAGCAGUAGGGAAUCUUUCACAAUGGGCGAAAGCCUGAUGGAGCAACGCCGCGUGCAGGAUGAAGGCCUUCGGGUUGUAAACCUCUUUUAUAAGCGAGAAAAAUGAGGGUACCUUAUGAAUAAGUAUCGGCUAACUACGUGCCAGCAGCCGCGGUCAUACGUAGGAGCCGAGCAUUAUCCGGAGUGACUGGGUGUAAAGAGUUGCGUAGGUGGCACAAUAAGUAGCUAGGAAAAUCUGCUGGUCCAACCAUUCAAACUAUUGGCUAAACUGUUAAGCUCGAGAGCAAAAGGGGUAACUGGAAUUCCUAGUGUAGGAGUGAAAUCCGUAGAUAUUAGGAAGAACACCGAUAGCGAAGGCAGGUUACUGGGAUGGAACUGACGCUGAGGCACGAAAGCGUAGGGAGCAAACGGGAUUAGAUACCCGAGUAGUC